rnacentral:lncRNA from 1 species
AAGGCUGCCUGAGAUAACCCACUGCCUUACCCAAAAGGUCUAGACUCUAGAGCCCUUUUGGGCAGUCUCCAUGGUCAGGUCCAACUGAAAGAGGAGUCAUUUUGAGACUGUGAGGUGGUCGCUGCAAUCUGCUCCUCUGUCUCCAUUCCAAAAAGAGACUGUGUGUAAGAGUCUGCUCUCUUGGGGAUUGGAAUACCAUCUGGUGGAGGUUAUUUGGAUGCUGAAACAUUUUGGCAUGCUUCCCAAUCCACUGCAGACUCAUGAAUGAUUCACAGAAAAAUAAAGAACACUGAGCAAUACAGCCCAAGCCAAGCCACACAGACAGGCCACCAAAAGGUCCCAGGAUAAAAUCCCAACAUGAUGGAGGAGUGCCCCCUCAUUAUGUGAAGCACCUGCUGGGCUUGGAACCAAAUUCAGUGUAAGUUCAAGUGGCCCUGUGGAGAGGACUGCUAGUGUCUCCCCCUGUAUUUGCUGCAGGAAAAUAAAACAGUGAAAA